UUAACUAAAAUUUGUUUACAGUUCGAACGUCUGCCUACGUUUGCCUUAGGAGCGCUGUUCCAACUGCAUACAAAUUUCAGUUA
rnacentral:pre_miRNA from 1 species